rnacentral:lncRNA from 1 species
GUAACAUUCAGGUUGAAGGCCAACAUCUCAAAUCAUCCUCCUUCUAGAGACCUAAGAAGGUGGCUCCUCCACGUGCCCCUUCUCCUUCCUGUUCUCUGUGUUUGGACAUGCUGAUCUGAGCUUCAGAGACCCAGACAGAAAGGCCGCACUCGUUCAGAGAGAGCAAAGCAAUGGGCACCUGUGCUCAUCAUGAAAUAAAGAUCCAGGCUCUGCCUGAUUGCCUCCAGGGUUGUGAGGCUCACUACCAUUCAAGGCAGCUCAUUUCUUCCUAUCAACAGCUCUGAACAGAGAAGAAUCUUCCUUAUAUUGAACCCUGAUGUUUUCAUCAUCACUGGAAAUGUUAAUAGAUUGCACGGUGCAAAGGAGUUCCUUUAUUGGGCUAGAACGGGGUGCUGGGCAGUGGGAGGGUCAUGGCACACAGGGGUCUGAUACACACAGGAGGUUCUCUGAUGCUCAUCCUUGGAUGGACUGUGUUCCACCUAAACGCUCCUGGGCACGUCGCCAGGCCAAUAACUUAUUAGAGCGAUAAUACCAUUCCCAAAGAUGGACGGUCUACAGAAUUUCAUUGACGCCAUCUCCUCUCCUCCUGUCCUACAAAUCAACUGAACUAAGGCUUGAACUAAACUUGAACUAAGGCUGAAUUUGAACUUGAGCUUGAAGAGACAACAACUCAGAUAUAGACAUUUUCCAUUUCUCUUUUGGUGUCACCGUGAACAUAAAUUGCUAGCUAGGGGUUUGGAACCAGGAGGAGACCCAACUCUCUGCCUUCUGUCCAAGAUAAGCAGGCCUUGGUCCGGUGGUCCCUACUGUGGAGGGGGGAGAGGGGAGAGCCCUGGACUGUGGGGCCUGUGAAGGGAGGACAGUGCCGUGGGAGAGGCCUCCCGAGAAGACGCAUCCUGGAUCCCUGUUAUCUCCCGGCAUCCUCUGUUGGCGUCCUUCGUUCCCGCGUCUCCUCUGUGACAGGUGGCACUAUUCUUGGUUAUGCUCUGGGGUGUGCAGGCAAUGGAGUGGACACCACCUCGCCCUCAUGGUGUGCCAG